rnacentral:lncRNA from 1 species
AAAGGGGUCAUAACUGGCCACCAAUGGCAAUGGCAUUGGCCAUUGUUUUGAUUUCAACUAGUGUGGUUUCUGCUGCUGCAGAUAGUUAUAUUUACUCUUCUCCUCCACCACCUUACGAGUAUAAGUCGCCACCGCCACCAUCACCUUCACCACCACCUCCUUAUGUUUACAAAUCGCCACCUCCUCCAUCCCCAUCACCUCCACCACCUUAUGAGCACAAGGCUCCUGCUUAUGAGUACAAGUCACCACCACCACCAACUCCUUCACCACCACCUCCUUAUGUGUACAAGUCACCACCACCGCCAUCUCCUUCACCACCACCUCCUUAUGUGUACAAGUCACCACCACCACCCUCACCUUCCCCACCACCACCAUACUACUACAAGAGUCCUCCACCACCUUCUCCUUCACCUCCACCUCCUUACUACUACAAAUCUCCUCCACCACCCUCACCUUCCCCACCACCACCAUACUAUUACAAGUCUCCUCCACCACCAUCUCCCUCACCUCCACCACCAUAUUACUACAAGUCUCCCCCACCACCCUCACCCUCCCCUCCACCCCCAUAUAUACACAAGGAUCCACCAUACUAUUACAAGUCCCCACCACCACCUUCACCAUCUCCUCCACCACCAUACUACUACAAAUCUCCCCCACCCCCUUCACCGUCUCCUCCACCACCAUACUACUACAAAUCUCCUCCUCCUCCAUCUCCUAUUCCCAAAACACCUUACUACUACAAAUCUCCCCCACCCCCUUCACCAUCUCCUCCACCACCAUACUACUACAAAUCUCCCCCACCCCCUUCACCGUCUCCUCCACCACCAUACUACUAUAAAUCUCCCCCACCACCGUCACCCUCUCCACCACCACCUUACUAUUACAAGUCUCCUCCCCCACCUUCACCAUCUCCUCCACCACCAUACUACUACAAAUCUCCUCCUCCUCCAUCUCCUAUUCCCCAUACACCUUACUAUUACAAAUCUCCCCCACCACCUUCACCAUCUCCUCCACCACCAUACUACUACAAAUCUCCUCCUCCUCCAUCUCCUAUUCCCCGUACACCUUACUAUUACAAAUCUCCCCCACCACCUUCACCAUCUCCUCCACCACCAUACUACUACAAAUCCCCUCCUCAUCCAUCUCCCAUUCCCCAUACACCUUACUAUUACACAUCUCCCCCACCACCUUCACCGUCUCCUCCACCACCAUAUUACUACAAAUCUCCUCCCCCUCCGUCUCCUAUUCCCCACACACCUUACUACUACAAGUCCCCACCACCACCAAAGGUCCUUCCACCACCAUACUAUUACAAUUCUCCUCCUCCACCUGUUGUGUAUCCUCACCCAUAUCCCUACCACCACUCACUUAUUGUGAGGGUAGUCGGUAAAGUCUACAGCUUCAGAUGUUAUGAUUGGAAUUAUCCUGCAAAGUCUCAUAACAAGAAACAUCUCAAAGGUACAUUACAUUUCUUAGGACCGGACCUCUUUAGAGUAAUGUGUUUAGAGAUAAUGCACAAUUUUUUAUUUUUUUAUCUCGUAAAGGUUUAUUUAUUAUAAUCACAAUUUCACUUUUGUCAAAAAGAAAAACAAUUUUACUAUAUAUAGUUUUAAUCAUUAACAUUUUGAUGUAAAAAGAAUACAAUUCUCUAUUACCUUUUUACUAUGAUAUAUAUACAAAGAUUAUUCAAAUCUAUAUAUCCAACCUAAUUUCCAUCCAAAAAAAUAGAAAACAUAGGGUGCUUUGAACGCCUGCAGCAUCACAUGAAUAAAUAAAAACAAUCAAUAAUCAACCUUGUUCUAAUUUAUUUUAGACAGCGAUUGUUAAGCAUACUGCUCUUUUAAUUACAUUUUUUUUAAAGAUGCUCUUUUAAUUAUAUUGUCCUAAUAUAAUAUGUGUCUUUAUAUAUUACUUGUCGUAAACUAAUUUUAUUAUGGGUGCAGGAGCUGUUGUUGAGGUGACAUGCAAAGCCGGGAGCAAAAUUGUCAAGGCUUAUGGAAAAACUAAGAACAAUGGAAAGUAUGCCAUCACAGUUAAGGACUUUGACUAUGUCAAAUAUGGUUCGACAGUGUGCAAGGCUGCCCUAUAUGCUCCACCUAAGGGUUCACCCUUCAACAUACCUACAAAGCUAAAUCAAGGAACAAAGUUGUACUUGAAAUCCAAAGACAAGUACGAGGUUGUGCUCAAGGCUAAGCCAUUUGCUUAUGCUUCAAAGAAACAUUUCAAAGAAUGUGAGAAGCCUAAGCCUUCACCAACUCCUUACUACUACAAAUCACCUCCACCUCCCUCACCAGUUUACAAAUACAACUCACCACCUCCACCGGUCCAUUAUUAUUCACCUCCAUACACCUACAAGUCACCUCCUCCCCCUGUGAAAGCGGCACCAACUCCUUACUACUACAAAUCACCUCCACCACCCGCACCGGUUUACAAGUACAACUCACCCCCUCCACCGGUCCAUUAUUAUUCACCACCAUAUACCUAUAAGUCACCUCCUCCCCCUGUGAAAGCGGCACCAACUCCUUACUACUACAAAUCACCUCCACCUCCCGCACCGGUUUACAAGUACAACUCCCCACCUCCACCGGUCCAUUAUUAUUCACCUCCAUAUACCUACAAGUCACCUCCUCCCCCUGUGAAAGUGGCACCAACUCCUUACUACUACAAAUCACCUCCACCACCCGCACCGGUUUACAAGUACAACUCACCACCUCCACCGGUCCAUUAUUAUUCUCCACCAUACUACUACAAGUCACCACCCCCACCAUCUCCAUCACCUCCUCCACCAUACUAUUUCAAAUACUAUUACAAGUCCCCACCUCCACCAUCACCAUCCCCUCCUCCACCUUAUUAUUACAAAUCUCCUCCUCCACCAAAACAAAUUUCACACCCUCCAUACUACUAUAAGUCACCACCCCCACCAUCACCAUCACCUCCUCCACCAUACUAUUAUAAGUCUCCACCUCCACCAUCACCAUCUCCCCCACCACCUUAUUAUUAUAAGUCACCACCCCCACCAUCCCCGUCCCCUCCUCCACCAUACUACUACAAGUCUCCACCUCCACCUAAAGAAAUAUCACAUCCUCCAUAUAACUAUAAGUCACCACCCCCACCAUCACCAUCCCCUCCCCCUCCAUACUAUUACAAAUCUCCUCCACCACCAUCACCAUCACCACCACCUCCCUACUAUUACAAAUCACCUCCACCACCAUCACCAUCACCUCCCCCUCCAUACUAUUACAAAUCUCCUCCACCACCAUCACCAUCACCACCACCUCCUUACUAUUACAAAUCACCUCCACCACCAUCCCCAUCACCACCACCUCCAUACUACUACAAAAGUCCCCCUCCACCAUCUCCAUCUCCUCCAUCCCCAUAUUACUACAAAUCUCCACCACCACCAUCACCAUCCCCACCCCCUCCCUACUAUUACAAAUCACCUCCACCUCCCUCACCAUCACCGCCACCUCCUUACUAUUACAAAUCACCUCCACCUCCCUCACCAUCACCGCCACCUCCUUACUAUUACAAAUCUCCCCCACCUCCAUCUCCAUCUCCACCACCUCCUUACCACUAUCAAAGUCCUCCUCCACCAUCUCCCAUUUCUCAUCCUCCCUACUACUACAAAUCCCCUCCACCACCAUCGCCGUCUCCUCCACCUCCUUACCACUAUGUGAGUCCUCCCCCACCAGUAAAGUCACCUCCACCACCAACUUAUAUCUAUGCUUCACCACCACCACCUCACUACAACUAAGCUCAAAGAGCAGAAGCUCCGUUCAUUAUAAAUCAUGUAAGUUUAUCAUCUUCAAUUUUCUGAAUGUGUGCGUGUGUAUUUGUUUUUUUGUUACAAGAUACUAACAAAAUUCUUUUCUUAUUUAUGUUCAGGUUUUAGUUUUCAUCUAGGAAUAAAGGCAAGCUCCAUUUGGAGUAAAGUGAAACUUCUAGCUUCGUGUCCGAAUUCGUUAAAUAAAUGUCGGGAUGUAUCGUCUUUGAGCUAUAAUAUUUCUGAUCCAGACAAUAUCUAUUUUGUUUCUUUGGUGGCAAUCUUGCACUUCCUGGUCUUAGUCUAUUCAAGUGACAGACAAAUCAAAAGGGAGAAGCGAGAUUAAUUUAUUUGUGAUCUCUUUGAUUUAUUUGUGCAUAUAUCAAUAUGAACGUGUAUGAUAUUUUUCUAUUUAUUGAAGAUUUUUUUACUGUAACCUGUUAUUGUGUUUGUCAAAAGGUGUUAAUAAAGAAUCACAUUCAAUUUCUGUUAAAUUAUCAGUAUUUGUUUCUUUCUAACAACUACCAUUCAUGCAAAUGUGGCUAUUAAAAAAAGCUCCAAUGACACAUAAAAAGCUUCCAAACAAUAUAUAAACAAAGAUGCAUUGUUUUCUGUUAAGAAGGGGACAGGGUUACGGUUACUUGUGUACCAAGUUAGUUAUCCAUGCUUUCUUGUUCAUAGGAUUUAUAUGGUGUAGUUGCACUUAGUUGCUAAAUGUAUGCAAGCUUUUCCUUUCUAUAAAUAAGCACACCUACUAUCAUUCUUCUCCACAUUCCUUUCUACUCUUCUAUCAUGAAUUGUUCAUCCACAUAAGAUGGUCACAGAGCACACCUAAUACUCUGCUACUGGUGUAUCAGUUCCUUUCCACCAGAAACUUAUGAUCUCUAAUUGAAAGAGAUCCUAAAGUUUUAAGAUUUCUACAAAAUACAUUAUUCUCAUUUUUGUACAAGUAUGAUACAAUUAUUCCCAAGUAUUAUUUAUUCUAAGGAAUAGAAUUUAGUUGUGGUUUCUCUAUUUAACCAACAUUUAUUUUUAAAUAACUAAAUUUAAAAAAAAAAUCCUGAAAUUAUUAAGUACAUACCUAACACAUUGUAAAAUUUUGUUCCCAAAGAAAAUAUUUUUGGCAAUAGAAUUUUCAGGAACUUCAUUCCUAGGAAUAUAAUUCUAUACUAAGAGAAGAGCUUAAGCAUUGAUACAUAACAAGACCAAUCCAUAUCCUAAUCACAAUCCUACUUUCACUAAAUACUUUCACUUAAGUGUGGUCUUGGAAAGGACAAAUGAAGAAAGACAUUCCAGAGGUAUGGUAAGGGACAAUAUCUGCAGUUAUGCACAUAUUGCAAGAUUGUGAGGAACUACCGGACUGAUUUGAUUCACCAAAAAAUUUGGAAUAAAUAUUUCAGCCCAGAACUCAGACAAUGACUGGAUUGGAACCUUUCAGCUUCUAAUAUCGGUACUGUCCAAGGAAAUAGUCAUUCUCUUUUUGGAGUAGCUGUGAAGGAUUUAUGGAAAGAUAGAACUAAGCUGGUCUUUUCUAGAAACACCGCGAUUGGAACUACUCUAUUUUGGCUUGUAGCCAAUCCGGCUAAGUUUAUUAACAAUGUAGUUUGUACUCAAGCUCACAGUCACGAUGUUGUCAGCAACAGUGGGCAUAUUGUUUAGGUAGCCUGGAAUUUUCCUCCCCAACACUUCUUCAAAGUGAAUAUGAUGGAUCUCUACGGGAUUAUGUUAGUUUCCAGGAUCGAACUCAGAACCUCCUGAUUAUAACUCCUUCAAUGUAUGUCCCUUACCCACGUGGGGCCUCGGCUGUAAUUGUUAACAUGGUAAAAUUUGGCUCUUCCAAUAAUGGUUUUAUCCAAACUCGAGGUUGUUUAUCGUCUCCAACAAUCAGAUUGGAGAAUACUAGUGGUUCAUGCAUUUGAACAAACCAACUGUUGUGCAGAUUUUCUAGUUGAUUUUGUUUUUCCUUUUUUGAGUAUUUUAUUAGCCAAUGAUAUAAGAGGUUGUAGCCUACCUCUUUUGAUUUCUUAAGACAAUCACUUUUGCAUUAGAAAAAAACGACCCUACAUAAAAUUAAUGAUUGAAUUAAGAUAUAACUUCAGUUUGAAAUAUUGUAAAAUUCUAUACCACCAAAAACUGAGAAUUUUAGAACCAUACAGGUUGGUGGAGUGGUCAUCCAGAUAACUUUAACAUAAUUAACAGUCCAAAAAGUAAAUAGCUUUAUCCUUUAUUUUCAAUCUGAUGUGAUUUACUCUUAUCUGUUAAACAUUAUAAUUAAGAAUCCAAAGGGAACACUCACCUAAUCUCUCUCUUUUUUCUAGCUUUUUCACUAAACCACUGUGUCUGUGGUUACCACAUUUCCUUAUGGAAUCAAUAUCCAAUUUAUGUUAAAAACCAUUUCUACAUUUUGUGUUAAAAAUGAUCUAAACAAAGAUGAUUUAUUUCUCUUAAAUUCAACAUAGAUCAUAUUUACAUGGUUCAAACUUUCUAUUACACGGCAUUGACUUAGUUGCUUCACAUGGGGACACAACUAAUGCAUAUAUUAUUUUAUAUGCUUAUAGUAAUUUUAACAAGUGGCAAUGGGGCAUAUGUUUUGUCAAAAAAACACAAAAAACAGGAGGCAUGUGCAACUGAAGUCACUGCCAGCUUGGCACUAAGAUAUAGUAAAAUAAUUGACAUUUGAAGAAAACAAAGACGUUGCUACAUUUCUAUUCAAACAAGCGACAUCAAUAUCAGACAAUGGUGCUACAUUUAAUAAUACUACAGCUAUCCCCAUAAGCACCUCUUAGAAAGAAAAAAAAAUAUCCAUUAAAUUAAUGUUGGAAGAGUUAGCAACAUGUCCUCUCCCAAAAAAACUCAUGUUUGAUUCCUAGAGUCGUCCAUUUCGAAAGAAGCUCAACCCUGAUAAUAAAAACCUAGAUGUUAUGCUGCAGACUUAAAGAUCAAUUUCAUAAUGGAUCCAAAGGGCCUAAGCUGUGUGGGAUACUUAAGGGGGUAUAUUGAGGCUAAGGGUCAAAGAUCUUAAUUAUGGUCGGUUAAAAAAAGAAGAAAAAAAAAUUAUCUCUAAAUAUAAAGUCAACAAUAUUUCAAAUUGCAAGAUACAUUUAUUUAUUUUUUAAAUAUGUAUAUACCUCUUAUUAAUACUUACUAAUUUGUUUUGAGUGAUAAAAAGUUACGAGUUAGACAGAUCAGCACAUAAAAAAAGUAUUUGAAAAACAUCUACCAACAAAAUAAACACAUUAAAAACAAUACUACUUUUUUACAAUACUGUAUGUGAAAAUGACAAAAUCUUGAAAAAGAUGGAGGUAACAUGUACUCUUUUUUUUUUAGAGGGGAGCAUGUACUUUUCCACUAACAAUGUUGAUAAGAAACAUAUAAAAUACUAUUAGAGAAAGAAAAAAAAUAAUAAAUAAAGAAAUAUAUAAAAUACUGAGGAAUGACUCACUCAUGUCAAAUUUUAGCAAGGGAGAAGUGAUAUCACAUCAUUUUAGAAGAGGAAUGAGAAUAGAUAGAUCUAAUUUUUCUAGUAAGUUUGAAUAGUAGAAUCAUACUUCUUUGUCUUUUGUGAAAAUUUCAUAUUAUGGGAUCUAUUACUAGAAUACAGGUGAUUUUAUUCUGGAAGAUUGACUUUUUAUUAAAAUAAAAUAAAAGUACAUUUUUUAUUUCCAAAUGCUUAGUUGUUCAUUUAUAAAUAUUACAUUAUCCAACAGCACCAAACCCUAUUUCAUAACGGUACUCUGCACGUUUCAUUCAUUUACUGGUGCCUUAGUUUUUUGUUACAAACAGACAUUGAUCAGAGGAACAAAUGUAGAGACAAAUUGAAGAUAAUAUAUCACAUAAUAUUGUAGACACACCUUCACAUACAAAUGGGGUAAAGUCCCUCAUAGUAGUAUUAGAAAUAACACUUAGAGUAAAAUUUUGCUAAAUUUAACAUGAAAAUAAGUGUAAUGUAUUUUAUAGGCAGCUAUACAUAAUUAUUAAUUAGAACAAUUUUUUACACUGUCAAACAAAAAUUGAACAAUUUUUUACUAGCUUUAUGCUUUAUGAUGUUUUGAUUCCAUGUGCACAUUUCAAUUUUAGAACUAUUCCUUUCUAUGUUACUGAAAUAAUUCUAUCAUUAGGCAUUGACAUUUCCAUUAUGCGUGCACGUUAAAGUGUUUUCCCAAACAGAGAAAUAUUAAGAAAGGUUAAACUUUUGACUUAAAGACACAACUAAAAUAAGAUCCAAGGAAAACCCCAUUGAUUAUUUCUUGCACAAAAUUAAAAACCCCAUUGAUUAUUUCUUGCACAAAAUUAAAAUGCUAAUAAUUUUUCCUGGUCUAUAUUUUUCUCCUUCCGGGAAAUGGCAACAUCACAUGUUCAUCUCAUAAUUGAGAAAACACAUGUCUGGGAAAAUAUCUUAAAGAAAAGGCAGUAAAGUAAUAAAAAGUGCACCAAAUAGAGAUUAACUAGUACUCUUUGCAUGUCAACUAAGUGGUAUAAUUAUGUAUAUCACAUUCUUAAUAUUGAUUAUCUUGAUUGCACGAUAAGCCCCUCAAAUUGCUCAAUCGAUGAUUGCUUGAUAAGCCCAUCAAAUUGCCCAAUCGAUCGAAUCGUAACUUUCGAUAGACAUUUUUUUUAAGAAAACCCAAUUGGAUCAUAACUCCCCAUAGUCAUUUAUUUGAAAUUGUGAGCAAUUUGAUAACUUAUUGAGCAAUCACCAUUGAUUUUAGUCUCAAUUUAUCCUAAUGUUGUAACCCUGGAAUAAUGGAACAGUGAGUAAAUUUGGUUUCUCCGUCUCAAAAUAAGUGUCACAAUUUAACCAUGUGCACUACUCAUCAAAUCUACUUUGACAACAUUUUUUUUACUAAUAUAUAAAGACAAUGUUAGUACAUUACAUGUUCGAUUUGUCUUAGUUAAUGUUUUUAAAAUAUCGACUUUAUUAUAAUUUUUCUUAAUAGACAAUCAAAAAUAUCAAUUGUCAAAAUUGUGUAUUGAUAUGUAUGAAAAUCAAACUAUAACACUUACUUUGAGACGAAGAGAAUAACUAUUAAAAACUAAUGUUCAAAUAGAAAGAAAAGAAAACAAAGAUUCCAUACAAAGCUUGCAAAAUAGCUACAAUCAUAACCUAGAACAAAAAUCAUGACCACACACUAUAUCCAUUUUCCUUUUCCUAAAAAGCAAUUGAAGAUAAAAAAAAAAAAAAUAAUAAAUAAAAAAAAAAAAAAAAAAAAAAAAAANACCACCAUACUACUACAAAUCCCCACCUCCACCAUCGCCUUCUCCUCCACCACCAUACUACUACAAAUCCCCACCUCCACCAUCGCCUUCUCCUCCACCACCAUACUACUACAAAUCCCCACCUCCACCAUCGCCUUCUCCUCCACCACCAUACUACUACAAAUCCCCACCUCCACCAUCGCCUUCUCCUCCACCACCAUACUACUACAAAUCCCCACCUCCACCAUCGCCUUCUCCUCCACCACCAUACUACUACAAAUCCCCACCUCCACCAUCGCCUUCUCCUCCACCACCAUACUACUACAAAUCCCCACCUCCACCAUCGCCUUCUCCUCCACCACCAUACUACUACAAAUCCCCACCUCCACCAUCGCCUUCUCCUCCACCACCAUACUACUACAAAUCCCCACCUCCACCAUCGCCUUCUCCUCCACCACCAUACUACUACAAAUCCCCACCUCCACCAUCGCCUUCUCCUCCACCACCAUACUACUACAAAUCCCCACCUCCACCAUCGCCUUCUCCUCCACCACCAUACUACUACAAAUCCCCACCUCCACCAUCGCCUUCUCCUCCACCACCAUACUACUACAAAUCCCCACCUCCACCAUCGCCUUCUCCUCCACCACCAUACUACUACAAAUCCCCACCUCCACCAUCGCCUUCUCCUCCACCACCAUACUACUACAAAUCCCCACCUCCACCAUCGCCUUCUCCUCCACCACCAUACUACUACAAAUCCCCACCUCCACCAUCGCCUUCUCCUCCACCACCAUACUACUACAAAUCCCCACCUCCACCAUCGCCUUCUCCUCCACCACCAUACUACUACAAAUCCCCACCUCCACCAUCGCCUUCUCCUCCACCACCAUACUACUACAAAUCCCCACCUCCACCAUCGCCUUCUCCUCCACCACCAUACUACUACAAAUCCCCACCUCCACCAUCGCCUUCUCCUCCACCACCAUACUACUACAAAUCCCCACCUCCACCAUCGCCUUCUCCUCCACCACCAUACUACUACAAAUCCCCACCUCCACCAUCGCCUUCUCCUCCACCACCAUACUACUACAAAUCCCCACCUCCACCAUCGCCUUCUCCUCCACCACCAUACUACUACAAAUCCCCACCUCCACCAUCGCCUUCUCCUCCACCACCAUACUACUACAAAUCCCCACCUCCACCAUCGCCUUCUCCUCCACCACCAUACUACUACAAAUCCCCACCUCCACCAUCGCCUUCUCCUCCACCACCAUACUACUACAAAUCCCCACCUCCACCAUCGCCUUCUCCUCCACCACCAUACUACUACAAAUCCCCACCUCCACCAUCGCCUUCUCCUCCACCACCAUACUACUACAAAUCCCCACCUCCACCAUCGCCUUCUCCUCCCCCACCUUACUAUUACAAAUCCCCACCGCCACCUUCACCAUCUCCCCCACCACCCUACUACUAUAAAUCACCCCCACCACCUUCACCAUCUCCUCCACCACCAUACUACUACAAAUCACCCCCACCGCCAUAUGAACACAAGACUAAACCAUACUAUUACAAGUCUCCUCCACCACCAUAUGAACACAAGACUAAACCAUACUAUUACAAGUCCCCACCACCACCUUCACCAUCUCCUCCACCACCAUACUAUUACAAGUCCCCACCACCACCUUCACCGUCUCCACCCCCACCAUACUACUACAAAUCACCUCCUCCUCCAUCACCUAUUCCCCAUACACCUUACUACUACAAGUCCCCACCACCACCUAAGGUUCUUCCACCACCAUACUAUUACAACUCUCCUCCUCCACCUGUUGUGUAUCAUCACCCUCAUCCCUACCACCAUGCAUUGAUCGUGAAGGUAGUGGGUAACGUCUACAGCUUCAGAUGUUAUGACUGGGAGUAUCCUGAAAAGUCUCAUAACAAGAAACACCUCAAAGGUACAUCACAUUACAUUUCUCAAUUCUUUCAUUUUUAUAGAUUUUAUGUACAUCACUAUUGGCUCGUAGUUUCUCAAUACCAUUACAACUAAACUGCAAGUUUCAGUAAUGAGAUUCAUAUAGACAUGUUUUUAUUAACAUCUUUGUUUCUUAGAAAUUAUACAAACACUUAAUUUAGGUUUCUCCAUGUCCAAUAAAGUAAACAAUUGAUAUAUCAAAUUAACAUAUAUGAUAUAUCAUUUACCUCAUUAAAAUUUAAUAAUCCUGCCUAAUAUAAAGAUUCGGUUUGAAAAUGAUAGUUUAGUGAGCUUCUUUAUAAUAACACUCUCCAAUAUAUUAUGUUUUAAAAACAAUUAUAUUUCUAUUUGUCUAAAUUCAAAUUUGUUAUGGGACAGGUGCUGUUGUUGAAGUGACAUGCAAAGCCGGGAGCAAAAUCAUCAAGGCUUACGGUAAAACUAAGAUCAAUGGAAAGUAUGCCAUCACAGUUAAGGACUUUGACUAUGUCAAAUAUGGUUCAACAGUGUGCAAGGCUGCCCUUUAUGCUCCACCUAAGGGUUCACCCUUCAACAUACCUACAAAGCUAAACCAAGGAACAAACUUGUACUUGAAAUCCAAAGACAAGUACGAGGUUGUGCUCAAGGCUAAGCCAUUUGCUUAUGCUUCAAAGAAACAUUUCAAAGAAUGUGAGAAGUCCAAGCCUUCACCAACUCCUUACUACUACAAAUCACCUCCACCUCCCUCACCAGUUUACAAGUAUAACUCACCACCUCCACCCGUCCAUUAUUACUCACCUCCAUAUUACUACAAGUCACCUCCUCCCCCCGUGAAAGCGGCACCAACUCCUUACUACUACAAAUCACCUCCACCUCCCGCACCAGUUUACAAGUACAACUCCCCACCUCCGCCAGUCCAUUACUAUUCACCUCCAUACACCUAUAAGUCACCUCCUCCUCCUGUGAAAGCAGCACCAACUCCUUACUACUACAAAUCACCUCCACCUCCCGCACCGGUUUACAAGUACAACUCACCACCUCCACCGGUCCAUUAUUAUUCUCCACCAUACUACUACAAGUCACCACCCCCACCAUCUCCAUCACCUCCUCCACCAUACUAUUUCAAAUACUAUUACAAGUCCCCACCUCCACCAUCACCAUCCCCUCCUCCACCUUAUUAUUACAAAUCUCCUCCUCCACCAAAACAAAUUUCACACCCUCCAUACUACUAUAAGUCACCACCCCCACCAUCACCAUCACCUCCUCCACCAUACUAUUAUAAGUCUCCACCUCCACCAUCACCAUCUCCCCCACCACCUUAUUAUUAUAAGUCACCACCCCCACCAUCCCCGUCCCCUCCUCCACCAUACUACUACAAGUCUCCACCUCCACCUAAAGAAAUAUCACAUCCUCCAUAUAACUAUAAGUCACCACCCCCACCAUCACCAUCCCCUCCCCCUCCAUACUAUUACAAAUCUCCUCCACCACCAUCACCAUCACCACCACCUCCCUACUAUUACAAAUCACCUCCACCACCAUCACCAUCACCUCCCCCUCCAUACUAUUACAAAUCUCCUCCACCACCAUCACCAUCACCACCACCUCCUUACUAUUACAAAUCACCUCCACCACCAUCCCCAUCACCACCACCUCCAUACUACUACAAAAGUCCCCCUCCACCAUCUCCAUCUCCUCCAUCCCCAUAUUACUACAAAUCUCCACCACCACCAUCACCAUCCCCACCCCCUCCCUACUAUUACAAAUCACCUCCACCUCCCUCACCAUCACCGCCACCUCCUUACUAUUACAAAUCUCCCCCACCUCCAUCUCCAUCUCCACCACCUCCUUAUCACUAUCAAAGUCCUCCUCCCCCAUCUCCCAUUUCUCAUCCUCCCAACUACUACAAAUCCCCUCCACCACCAUCGCCAUCUCCUCCACCUCCAUACCAUUACGUGAGUCCUCCCCCACCAGUAAAGUCACCUCCACCACCAGCUUACAUCUAUGCUUCUCCACCACCACCAAUCUACAACUAGCCUCACAACACCAAAUCACCAUUGGUGAUAAAUUAUGUAAGUUUACCAUUAUUGCAAUCAUAACACUUGCAUCUUUUCCCACCCAUACACACACAUAUCACAUGUUUAAAUUUUAUGUACUAAUCAACAAAAACUCUUAUUUGUUUUCAGGUUCUAGUUUUCAUCAAGGAAUAAAGUCGUCCAUUUGGAGCAAAGUGAAACAACUAGCUCUCUGUCCAAAUUAUUUGAUGGCCAUCUUGCACUUCCUAAUCUUAUUGUGUUCAAGUGACUGGCUAAUCAAAAUGUGGAAGCGAGAUUAAUUUAUUUAUUAUCUCUUUGAUUUAUAUGUGCAUAGAUUGAUAUUUCCCUGUAUGAUAACUUUAUUUUUAUUGAGGAUUUUUUGUAUUGUACCCUGUUGUGUUUGUUAAAAUAAGUAUUAUCAAUGAAGAAUUACCUUCAAUUUCUUUCCACCUAAUUAGUUCUUGUUUCUUUUAAACAACUAUCAAGCAUGUCAGCAAGGCAAAGCAUACCACUACCACCAUAUCACCAUAAAAUGCAUCAUUAUUCAUUGCAUAUGAGAUAAAUAUAUGCAAACUAUAUCUAAUUAUUAAGAGGGGGAAAAAACUAAUGUACAGAAAAUGUACCUCAAGGCUUCAGGAUAGGUGUUAGAAACCCAAGCUUUUAAUAGCUCUCUCCAAGAAUCCUCGUUUCUACAACUUAAGUUCCUAUAUUAAUCAAUUAUAAUAUAUGAGAAACUUAUGUUGUCGACCAACAAUACAGGUGACUCAAAAAAAUAUUAUAUUUUAAAAGUCAAACCUUGAGCUAUACACAUGUAAGCAUCAUCAAUAUAAGUUUCACCAUUGUUCAUGUGUAUUAUUCCAUAAAUUUUGGCUCAGUUGAGGUUACUACACUGGUUUUCUUCCUAUUGUAUCAUAUAUUUAAAUACUAUGGUGCGUUUGGAUAAACAGCUUAUGUCACAAGCACUUAUCAUGAUAAGCGCUUUUGUAUAAACUUGCAUGAGUUAUUUUCAUAUCAAAAGAUAAACAAGAACAUUAAAUUGUUUUUGUAUAUUACUUAAGUUGUUUUCAUAAGCUAUGUUGAAGAACUAAUGAAAAUUAGCUGAAAAAAGCUUAUGCUGUUUUCAUGAAUUCUCCCUAACAGUCUCACAAUAUUUAUGUCAGUAUAUAAUCAAAUAAGUCAAUCCAAACAGGCCCCACGUCUUCUAUAUUAGACCAUAUGACAAUUUCUUUUCGGUUUAUUCUCAUUAAAAGUUAAAAAUGGUGUAUUUGAAUCCUAUAAUUCUUUGUCAUACAAGUGCAUUCAAAUACAAUUUGAAGCCAUGGUGAAAGUGUUUAAUUUGCAGAGCUCACCAACAUAAUCUAACGUAUAUUUGGAUUGACUUAUUUGAACUUAUCUACUAGCACAAAUACUUGUGAGAUUGUUUACGAAAGUUUAUGGAAAAAACUUACAACACACACAUAAGUUGUUUUCAGCUUAUUUCCAUAAACUCUUCAAAAUAGCUUAUGAAACAACUUAUAUGAUAAGAGCUUAUUCUAUAAGCGCUUAAUUAAGUUUUAAUCCAUUCUUCUUCUACCUUCAUCUUCAGUUAACAAAACGAAUACAAUUUCUGAAAAUUCAAAGUUCAAACACCAAAAAAUACCUAAAAUGAAAAAUUGUUGAAUGAAAGCGCAAAUAGAACCUGGCAAUGCGUUCGAGAAGCACGUGGAGGAGGUGGCGUGGCAGAAGAAUGUGUGGAUUUCAUCGGAGAAUUUCAGUUCUGCUCGCGCCAUUUAAGAAAUUUUGUAAACUUAAAGUUUAGUUUAAGUUUACCCCUCUUUUUUUUUCAUUUUAAAGGAGUUUACCCUACAAAUUUUUGUAUGUUUUUGCCACGUUUACAAAUGAUUUAAUAUGUUUUUAUCCUAUAUAUAUUUAGGGAUGUAAAUGGAUAUUAUGAUGCGGAUAGUGUAAUAUUUGUGUCUGUUCCAUUGGAUAAAUAUGAAAUCUGUACCAUAUUCAUAUCGUACGGAUAUCUGUUUAGCGGGUAAUCCACAGAUUUUGAGAUAUUUGAGUGUUUAUAGAUAUAUUCAUUGAUAACAUUUAUAAAAAUAAAAUAAAAAAUUUGUUUAAUUCUUUUUAGAGACAAAGGUUCUUCAUAUGCAUUUUCUUUUCUUUUUAACAAAACAUAAUAUUCAUACAUUAUAAUAACAACAAAGAUCAUUGACUCAACAAAAACAUAAAUAAAGUUGCUUACAUUUAAUAAAAAUAAAGUUAUUUGAUUUAACAAAAACAAAGCUCUUGCAUCAACAAUCCCAACCACUUUCACUUCCUUUUAAAAGAGUGUAAUAACAAAUAACACUCACAAUACAUAAGGUUUUUUUUUAGGAAGUUGAAUGAUAUUAAGGUUAUUUAUGUAAUUUACUCGGUUUAAUAGUCGGUAUGGAUAUCCACGGGUGUGGAUACCGUUAAAUCCGCAUCCAUAUCCAUUAAUUAGCAGGUAGUUAAAAAAUUCAUUUAUUUUAUCCAUUGAUAUCCAUUAAGGUAUCCGCUCCGUGCCCGUGACGGAUUAUAUCCGCGGAUAUUCACGGGUGCGAAUUUUUUUGUCAUCCCUAUAUAUAUAUAUUAGUCUUAAACUUGACUAUUUUUUAUUAUCAUUUGGUGCUAUAAUUAAAAAAAAAAAAAAAAUAUUGUUCGUCUGAGCCAUUUAGCUACAGGCUAUUACUUUUCUCAUUCUACAUGUUUCUCGCUUGUCCUAUUUUUUUUUUAAUACUUUUUGCUCGAAUUCUAAAAUCUAAACUCCUAUAGGGAUUUUUGGAUUCUAUAAUCCAAAACACGUUGAAACCCAAAAAUAAAAUAAAAAACUAUGUAAUUGAAAUCAAAGAUCUCUACUGCUAAUGCACGUUUUCCACAAAAACUACAAAGUAAUUUCAAAGUAAUUUCACAAAAACUAUCGUAUGAAUAGACAGCAAUGAGCAUGAUAUCAUAAAUAACUCAAAACUUUAUAAAAAUAAAAAUAAAAAAAUGAAUAAGAAGAUGUGAAGAAUGAAUGUAAACGUUGGAGGAUACAAAGCUAUUUAUAGACAUAAAAUGUUCCUAGACUCUAAAGUGGGUCAAAGAAAACAUGAAUAACAUUUACAACUUAAUUAACACAUCACAGAUCAUUCAAACCUUUGGUGUAACAUCAUCGUAUGUAGUCUGGCACAGUUUGGAUUAUACAAUCUGAACAUUUCAUAAGCAGUUUGGAUUAUAUAAUUUGAACUAUCCCAGACUGUGUUUCAGCUUGAUGUUUGGAGGGUUUUGUAUGGUGGAUAACACAAAAAAAUGACAUAAUUCAACAACGUAAAAAAUAUAAUAAGAUAAGUGAUGAUGAAAGGGAAGCCGCACCAAGAGGUGUUUUUGAAUUCGAUCCAGUUGUCCUAUCAACUGACAUAUAUUUCUAUUGGCAUGGCAGCAAGAUCAAGUUUCAAAACGACCUUUUUGUGUUCAUAUCCGCAAAAUAAUGAUGAAAGGCAAGGUAUUCCAAGAAGUGUUUUUUAACUUGAUCUCGCUACCUUGUCAACUAACAUAUUUCUAUAGACAGUGCAGCAAGAUCAAAUUUAUAACAACCUCUAGGUGUUCAUAUCCGCUAAGUAAUUUUUCGUAGUUCUUUAUUGUGAUCUACAAAAAAAAAAAAAAAAAAGAUCUAUUUAUAUAAGUUUAUGUGCGUCGCGAACCAGAUAAAUUUUCGAUGCAUUGUGGACCAAAAAAAAAUUCUAAUUCGGACUAAACAAGAUGAAUUUUCCUUCACCCUAGAAAGUAAAAGUUUUGACAAACACAAGACUGAUUAUACAUUAAAUACAACAAUCAGCCAAACUAAACAUAUUAGAUCACAAAUCUUUCAAACUAACUUCUUCAUUGGAUUCCUCCAAGAGAGCCUUGAUUUAUUUGUAUGUUCUAGGCCGAAUCAAUUUUUUUUAAUAUCUUUGAAAGGGCCCGACCAAGAAAACAUCCAACUCAAUUGGUCAUUUAAUACCGUACUGACCAAAUAUUAAAACAUUAUUCUCUUAUCGCAUUGUUCCUGAGUUUAAUCUAGGUAAACUAGAUGCUUUCAUCUUAGCCAAUCGAUGGACUUUGAUGCUCAACAUUGUCCAUCCUUCUUGUGUCUGUGUUGUUGAGUCGACGGUUGAUUUAGUCCAGCUAAUAUUGGACUUUCCCCCAUUGUAGUAAACUACAGUUAGUUUGGUGUCAGAUCAAUGAUUGAAGUGUUCAUGAUUAUUUGGUGUGGUUUAUAGCAAAUGAAAACAAGCACACCAAUUUAUAGAAGUUUAUGUGCGCCGCGGACUACAAUAACUAUUGGUGCAAUGAAGACCAUAGAAAAAGCAUGUACUUGGCUGAUUUGGAUUAUAUAAUUUACAUUGUCCCUCACCCUACAAAGUACAAAUUUCAACACAAUAUUGAACCAAUUCGGAUUAUAGAAUCCAAUCAUUUAUGAGAUAAUUUCGGAUUAUAUAAUUAAAACUAGUUCACAAUGUGAACCGCAGCUUGGUCAGCAAGACUAACUCAUUAAAAAUGUUUUUUAAGUUGGUGAACGACGCUUGACUGGUCAGCAAGACUUGAAAACAAUUUUCGUACCAUGCAUUAAUGGACCAUUACCCUCUAUGAAAUGUACUUCACAAAUUCUCCUUCCGAAUACCCACUAAUACAUCACAAAUUCUUAUUUCAUCUCACAUUCUCUCGUUCUUUUUACUUCUACAAUGUGCUUCCAUAGUUUGUGUUUCAUACAAAAAUGUUACUCUAAUAUUUUAUGGAUUGUAUGAAUGGUCAAAAGGCAAAAAUUGGCACCAUCUGUUUGGAUGUAAGGUUGAUCAUCAAAGUCUAAUCCACUAAGAGAGGAAACAAACCUUACCCCAACCUCAUUCCCCAUUCAUCUUCUUGCACCGCAUGUUUAAAUGAUACUCCCUCCGGUCCUAUUUAUAAGAGAAAGUUAGGUCAACAAAAGUUGAUGUAUCUGAACUGAAUUUUUAACCGGAUACAUCAACUUUUGUUGACCCAAAUUUCUCUUAUAAAUAGGACCGGAGGGAGUAUUUGUACAACCAUUUUGGUACAACUUUUGUACAACUUUCUCUCUCAUACUCACAUUAUGUUUUUAUUCUCUCUCUUACUUUUUUUCUCUCCAUUGUGGUUGACCAAUAAGAAGGGAGAAUAUCAAGGUUGUCACAAAAAUUGUAACAAAAGAGUUGUUCAAAUAUCAUUACUCUUAUCAUUAUGUGUUAAAUAAUUUUGUGUAAUAAGCUUCAAUGACAAUGUAAAUAUACAAUAAAAGAUAUAAAUUAUUCAUAAAAUGAAAAUUUUAUUCAUUUAUCUUUUUAUAUUUUUGUCUCUUUUAGUUUCAGUCAUUUUCAAUUAUGCAUUCUUAAUAUUAUGUCAAUGUUGAUCAAUAAUUAUUGGCAAAAGAAGUUUUCAUGUUAUAGAAUAUGAAAAUCCCUGGUACCAAAAAAAAAAAAAAUCUGAAAAUCCCUCUAUAGGAUUUCAGAUUUUAGAAUCCGACCAAAUGGUAUUUUGAAGAGAGAAAAAUAGUGUGUCUAAGUAACUCAUGUUGAGAAAAGUAAUAGCCUUAAUUAUGUCUCCGAUAAACAUUUUAUUCCCUUCCGUUAAUCAGUUAAUCCCAAAUGUCUAAGGUGAACCAAUAUUAUAGGUGGUCUACCAUAAACCUCAUAACAAUUUUAAGGUCAAAUACCACUUUUGGUCAUUUUAGUUUGACAGAAUUCUCAAGUUAGUCAUUUAAGUUUCGAAAGUUUCAAUUAGGUCCUUUUAGUUUGACAGAAUUCCCAAGUUAAUCCUUUAAGUCAUAAAAUUCAGGGGAGCAAAGUAGAUACUCCAGUUUUCAGAGGCGGAGACAUAGUCAUGUCAAAAGCAUCCCACAUCCUAUUACCACCUACUUGAACUCAUCAAGCUUGGUAUGGACCAUUCACAGUAACAUGUGUAUGUAGUCUCGUGGAGAUCUGGGACAAUAUCAAAUGGCAUGCUAAGGUGAAUCGACACAAACUGAAGCAUGUUAAAGAUUGCAUCCGGAAAAUGAAAGUUGAAGAAGAUGAACCUGCUUUGAAGAGGUUCAAGGGCACAACAUAGACUUAUUCUCCAUGUUCAAGAUGUAAAACACGCAUUGAACGAGAGACAACCCAUUAAUUUAUUUUCUCCGUUAUUUGUCUUGUGUCAUUUUUGCUCGAAUUUUUUGCCGUCAAUUCUUUAUGAAUUAUCAGUCAUAUUAUAUUACACACUAGACAAUUUUUUUGGUACCUUGAGCCUUUUCAAUCCGCCCUUAUCAUCAUUAUAUCCUUUGCUAAAUCCCUUUGAGCUUCCAUGCAUUAUUUCUUUUGUUUUUUUUAUUAAGUAACAAAUCAUGUCACAAGUUUGAACUUUUAAUGCCAUCUAUUUGAUUUCUUUUAUAGUUAGAUAGAAUAUUUUUAAGAACUUGGUAUGAUUUGAAUAUAUGUUAGGGUUAUAAGGGAGAAAUGUAAUGGCAAAGAGGAAGAGCAAGAAAAGAGAUGAAAGAUGAAGGGACAUUAGGCAGACUCAAUCACGGUAGUUAGAAUGAUUGCCUUCUGUUUUGCAGUAAUUUGCAUGAGCUUCACUUUUCAAGUAGAGUAAAAAAAACAGGAAUAGAUAGACACAUUUCUUCUAAGUUUGAGUAGUGAGUGAUAACACUUCUAUGUAAUCCCUAAAAAAAAACACUUCUAUGUAAAAAAAUCACAUGGGAAAUCCAUUCCUAUAGUACACGUAAUUUUGAUCUGGAAGGUUGACUUUUCAACAAAAUAACCUAAAAUAAUUUGUUCAUAACAUAAUAGAGGAAUCUAGAAGUGUUCGCGGUGCGGUUUGAUUCGGUUUUGAGCAAAAAAGUCAUCCAAACCGCGCGAUAAAAAAACAUGUGGUUUGGUUCGGUUGAUUUUUAAAAAAUCAUCCAAACCAAACCAAACUAAACCAAUACGGUUUGGAUUGGUUCGGUUUGUGCGGUUUAUCGCGAGAUAAAAAAAAAAUAUUACAUUAACUCUAAUAUUUCCAAAUUGUUACAAAAUAAACAUAGAACGUUUUUUUAUUUAUUUUUAUAUGAUAAAAUAUUAGGUAAAACUCAUAUCAAAAUAGGUAAAAUUAAGAAGAAUUUAUAAGCAUGAAACAAAUUAUUGGAAAGUAAAGGAAACAAAUUUAAGUAAUAUUCAUUAUUCUUGCAGCUAUGUAAUUGGGCUAGAAACAUUUUAUUUUGAUGUUUAUAUCGAACAUGAUGGUGCAACAAUGGAAAAAUCAAAUCAAAAAAGAUUAUUCUUGAGCUAUGUAAUUGAGCUAGUACAUAUUUAAGUAAUAUUCAUUAUUCUUGCGGUUUGGUUUGGUUUGAUUCGGUUGCUGAGAUGCAAACCGCAAAUCAAACCAAACUGUAUGUUUUAGUGCAAAAGUCAUCUGAAUUCAUCCGAAAUCAAGUACGAUUUUUUACGAUUUUGAAUUGGUUUAAUUUGCCGUUUUUCUAUUGGAUUGGUUCGGUUUGAACGAUCUGCAUGAAUUCUUCUAGUUGAUUGUUGGACUAUUUUUAAUUGGCAAAGGCUUAGUUGUCCAUUUAUAAAUAUAAAUACUAUUAUUACAUUAUCCAAUCCAAUAGCACCAAAACCAAUAUAAUAAUGGUAAUUUGCAAUUUUGCACGUUUCAUUCAUUUAUUGGUGCCUUAAUUUUGGGUUACAGACCGACAUUGAUCAGUUGCUAAAAAACCACUGCAUCCUUAUUUUUUACGAGGUAGAUGCAUCGGACAAAUAAACCGACAAACAAAGCUAUUCAGAAAGUGCUCAGAAAUUUUUUGUGCCCCAACAGAAAAUAUUAAGAAAGUCUUGCUACACAGUGUCUUGUAUACAAGUGAAAUAUGUGUGGUAUUAUGCACAAGUUUAUUUUUACAAGUUGAUAUAAGAAUCUAAGUAUAUUUUUAUGGAAAAUUAAUGCUAACAAAUACUUUCAAAGCAUUGUUUAAGCAAUCAAUAUUAGUAACUUUUGCAUAGAAAUAUGUGUGAUUAUUAUUUUUUCAUAUGUUUUAUAUGUUUUCAAGAAAAUAUUUUUAUUUAUGGUUUUUUUAAAUAGUGUCCUUAGGUACUUGUUAGCAAAAUCUUAUUUAUAUAAGUUGAUCUAAGAAUCUCAUUAUUGUAUCGAGUGAGAUACGGCCAUACCGAAGCUUAUGGAUUCCAUAGUGGAAAAAUAACUUUUCAUCAGUGCAAUACUAUUUUAGUUGUAGAAUUUCUUUUCUUGUGUGUCCUAUUUCAGAUUUUAAAAUCCAAACAAUCGAAGGUUUAUGAAGGUUUUUCGAACAUUUUCGCACUGUUUGAAUUAUAUGAUCUGAAAUGUCAUAGAACAUGCGAGAAGCAAGUUGAAUGAAAUAAAAAACUCCUGCUCAAUAGAAUUAUUUUACUUGGUUAUUGUUUGAAUUUUAUUCUCCUUCAAAGACGGCAAUGUGCAAUUGUGCAUUUCAUCCGGAGAGUGGCAACAUCUCAUGCAUGUUCAUCUCAUAUAACUGAGAAGUCACAUGGCUUGGAAAAUCUUAAACCGAGAAAAACAAAAGGAGUAAAAGUAAUAAUAGUGAACCAAAGUGAAGAUGAACUUGUAGUCUAUCAAAAGAAGAUGAACUUGUUCGUCUUGGCAUAGUAACUCAUUUUUAUUCCUUGUUACCUAUGAAACACGGACAAUAGAUACAACACGGACACCAAUACGUUAAUACCGUUAAUAAUAUAAAAAAAUAGGUACAUUGAAUAAUUAAUGUAUUUGACCUAUAAAUGUGACCAGAUAUAUUAAUUAUUCAAUGUAUCUAAAAAGUUGGUUUUUGUUUAUAAAUAUGAUCAUAUGGAGUACUACUUUAGUGUAAUUUUAUGUAUUGGUACUGCGAGACAUCUAAUCUAAAGAGUGUCAAUGUUUUCACACAUAUUACUCACCAAAGUGCACACAUUAUAUGCAUUUAGGUAAACUGAGUUCAUCCAAAAUUGUAACCGCACAAACAGAGGGCCGCUAGGAAAUAUGAGGUAAAUUUGGAUUAUUCUUUAUCAAAAGCUUAUGACCAAAGAAAAACUAUACAAAAACUAAUGUUCAAAAAGUACAUAAAGUAAUAAUGCAAAGUCAAUGUGUAUAUAUAUUUCACCAUUAAAUAAAAGGGGAAAAAAAUCUCCAUACACAGCUUGCAAUAGCUACCAUCAUGGCCUAAAGCAAAUAUCAUAUGACCACUAAAAAACAAUAGAAAAUAAACAAAUAAAAAGAGAAAAACAAAAGAGAAAAUGGUAUAAAGAAAUCAUGUAGUAGUUAGUUUUUUCUCAAGAUGGGCAACUCAGCAGGGCUGCUAGGAGGAAAUUACAAAAGAACAUGACACUUAACUUCUCUAAUCAUUCAAAAUUUGUCAAGAUGCUGAUUAUAUAUUUUAAUUAGUAGUUAGAGAUUGUUAUAGUAACGUGUUCUAGCCAUCAAGAAUAAAACAAUGUCAUGGAAAAGAAGUGGCCUACUAGAAGAAUUAAUUUAAAGCAUUUACACCAAAAUAAAAACAAAUUGAAUAUUGGAAUUGGUCCUUCAUGAUAGCUUCCCCUUAACAACUAACUCUAACUAUAAAUACUGAAUCUUGCAUGCAACAUUUCAUAGUAAACACUAAGACCAAAACCUCUUCUUUCUAUCCAUGACUGCUAGGGCUAGUUGCCCCAAAAUGGGGCAUUUUUGGCCACAAAUGGCAAUGGCAUUGGCCAUUGUUUUGAUUUCUACUACUAUGGUUUCUGCUUCUGAUAGCUACAUUUACUCUUCGCCUCCACCACCUUAUGAGUACAAGUCCCCACCACCGCCGUCUCCCUCACCACCUCCUCCUUAUGUGUAUAAGUCACCACCUCCCCCAUCCUCGUCACCCCCACCACCAUAUGAGCACAAGGCUCCAUCUUAUGAGUACAAGUCACCACCACCACCAACUUCUUCACCACCACCUCCUUAUGUAUACAAGUCACCACCACCACCAUCUCCUUCACCGUCACCUCCUUAUGUGUACAAGUCACCACCACCUCCAUCCCCAUCACCCCCACCUCCUUACGUGUACAAGUCACCACCACCACCCUCGCCUUCCCCGCCCCCACCAUACUAUUACAAGUCUCCUCCACCACCCUCGCCUUCCCCACCGCCACCAUACUAUUACAAGAGUCCUCCACCACCCUCUCCUUCACCUCCACCUCCUUACUACUAUAAAUCGCCUCCACCACCCUCACCUUCCCCUCCCCCACCAUACUAUUACAAGUCUCCUCCACCACCAUCUCCCUCACCACCUCCUCCAUAUUACUACAAGUCUCCCACACCACCUUCACCCUCCUCUCCACCCCCAUAUAUACACAAGGAUCCACCAUACUAUUACAAGUCCCCACCACCCCCUUCACCAUCUCCUCCACCACCAUACUACUAUAAAUCUCCCCCACCACCCUCACCCUCUCCACCCCCACCUUACUAUUACAAGUCUCCUCCACCACCUUCACCAUCUCCUCCACCACCAUACUAUUACAAAUCUCCUCCUCCUCCAUCUCCUAUUCCCCAUACACCUUACUAUUACAAAUCUCCCCCACCACCUUCACCAUCUCCUCCACCACCAUACUAUUACAAAUCUCCUCCUCCUCCAUCUCCUAUUCCCCGUACACCUUACUAUUACAAAUCUCCCCCACCACCUUCACCAUCUCCUCCACCACCAUACUACUACAAAUCCCCUCCUCAUCCAUCUCCCAUUCCCCAUACACCUUACUAUUACACAUCUCCCCCACCACCUUCACCGUCUCCUCCACCACCAUAUUACUACAAAUCUCCUCCCCCUCCGUCUCCUAUUCCCCACACACCUUACUACUACAAGUCCCCACCACCACCAAAGGUCCUUCCACCACCAUACUAUUACAAUUCUCCUCCUCCACCUGUUGUGUAUCCUCACCCAUAUCCCUACCACCACUCACUUAUUGUGAGGGUAGUCGGUAAAGUCUACAGCUUCAGAUGUUAUGAUUGGAAUUAUCCUGCAAAGUCUCAUAACAAG